AGGAAAAGAAACCAACCGGGAUUGCCUUAGUAACGGCGAGUGAAGCGGCAAAAGCUCAAAUUUGAAAUCUGGUACCUUCGGUGCCCGAGUUGUAAUUUGUAGAAGGUAACUUUGGGGCUGGGGCUUAUCUAUGUUCCUUGGAACAGGACGUCAUAGAGGGUGAGAAUCCCGUAUGAUGAGUCAUUCAGUCCUAUGUAAAGUGCUUUCGAAGAGUCGAGUUGUUUGGGAAUGCAGCUCUAAGUGGGUGGUAAAUUCCAUCUAAAGCUAAAUAUUGGCGAGAGACCGAUAGCGAACAAGUACAGUGAUGGAAAGAUGAAAAGAACUUUGAAAAGAGAGUGAAAAAGUACGUGAAAUUGUUGAAAGGGAAGGGCAUUUGAUCAGACAUGGUGUUUUGCGCCCUCUGCUCCUUGUGGGUGGGGGAAUCUCGCAGUUCACUGGGCCAACAUCAGUUUUUGUGGUAGGAUAAGUGGGUUGGAACGUAGCUUGCUUCGGGAAGUAUUAUAGCCAACUCAGAUGCUGCCAACGGGGACUGAGGACUGCGAUUAUAUCAAGGAUGUUGGCAUAAUGGUUAUAUGCCGCCCGUCUU
rnacentral:rRNA from 1 species